rnacentral:rRNA from 1 species
UACGUAGGGGGCUAGCGUUGUCCGGAAUCAUUGGGCGUAAAGCGCGUGUAGGCGGCUCGGUAAGUCCGCUGUGAAAGUCGGGGGCUCAACCCUCGGAUGCCGGUGGAUACUGUCGGGCUAGAGUACGGAAGAGGCGAGUGGAAUUCCUGGUGUAGCGGUGAAAUGCGCAGAUAUCAGGAGGAACACCAAUUGCGAAGGCAGCUCGCUGGGACGUUACUGACGCUGAGGCGCGAAAGCGUGGGGAGCAAACAGG